rnacentral:rRNA from 1 species
GACUAACGCUGGCGGCACGCCUAACACAUGCAAGUCGAGCGGGAUCUUGUGGAAUGCGUCUUCGGACAAGUGAAGCAAGUGAGAGCGGCGGACGGGUGAGUAAUGUCUGGGAAACUGCCUGAUGGAGGGGGAUAACUACUGGGAACGGUAGCUAAUACCGCAUAACGUCGCAAGACCAAAGAGGGGGACCUUCAGGCCUCUUGCCAUCGGAUGUUCCCAGAUGGGAUUAGCUUGUUGGUGGGGUAACGGCUCACCAAGGCGACGAUCCCUAGCUGGUCUGAGAGGAUGACCAGCCACACUGGAACUGAGACACGGUCCAGACUCCUACGGGAGGCAGCAGUGGGGAAUAUUGCACAAUGGGCGCAAGCCUGAUGCAGCCAUGCCGCGUGUAUGAAGAAGGCCUUCGGGUUGUAAAGUACUUUCAGCGGGGAGGAAGGGAGUAAAGUUAAUACCUUUGCUCAUUGACGUUACCCGCAGAAGAAGCACCGGCUAACUCCGUGCCAGCAGCCGCGGUAA